rnacentral:hammerhead_ribozyme from 1 species
AGUGGCCGACGAGUCCCAAAUAGGACGAAAUGCGCAUCCUGGGU